rnacentral:misc_RNA from 1 species
CUUUUUUUUUUUUUUUUUUGGGGAAAUGAAGACAAUUUGUUUGCUCUCUUAUUUGUUCACUUUCUUGGAAAUAAGUGCUACUUGAAUAAUUUUCCCAAGGUACUGCAUCCUUAAAGAAUUAUACAUAUGGCACUUACACCACCUUUUUCCUUACAUAAAAGAGAAUUUUACGUUUACUUGUGAAUUUGGAUUGUACUUCGUUAAUAGUGCUAAUGAACCAAAAAGAAAAGUCGCCUUAGUCAAUUUAAAAGUUAUUAAAUUAAUCCAUAUGAGCAUGCACAUUAUUAAGGGCAUGUAGUUUAGAAAAACAGAGGGUCAGUCGUUGUAAAUUUAUGUACUGUUUUGGAAUUUGGAUUGUUCUGUCAAUAGCCUGUUUAUGCUAUAACAGCUUAUUCUUUUUGAUAAUGGAUGACACUUGAGUUGACCUGAAGUUGGUGAGAACAUGCUGUCUUUUAAUACGCAAACUCUCCUCUUAUUAAAUUCCUGCUCUCAUUACCAAGAUUUCCAAGAGCCUAAUUAGUGAGUGUUUCCUGUUCUGAUGUGCUCUAAUCUGUUUAUGUAAAUUUGAGGAUAAAUGGCAAUAUGGCAGCUUAUGUCUUGUAUUUGUCAUCAAAUUUACCAGCCUUAUAUUUGUAGCUAACUUUUUAUGGUAUCUUUGUGAUCACCUCUAAUUCCGUGCUAUUUUUAUGCAGUUUUAGCUAUUGUUUUGGU